AUACGUAGGUGACAAGCGUUAUCCGGAUUUACUGGGCGUAAAGGGCGUGUAGGCGGUCUUGCAAGUCAGAAGUGAAAUUCCUGAGCUCAACUCGGGCGCUGCUUCUGAAACUGCAGGACUUGAGUGCUGGAGGGGAUAGCGGAAUUCCUAGUGGAGCGGUAAAAUGCGCAGAUAUUAGGAAGAACACCGGUGGCGAAGGCGGCUAUCUGGACAGUAACUGACGCUGAGGAGCGAAAGCGUGGGGAGCAAACAGGAUUGGAUCCCCUGGUAGUCCACGCCGUAAACGAUGAAUACUAGGUGUAGGGGGUAUCGACUCCCUCUGUGCCGCAGUUAACACAAUAAGUAUUCCGCCUGGGGAGUACGGCCGCAAGGUUGAAACUCAAAUGAAUUGACGGUG
rnacentral:rRNA from 1 species